rnacentral:rRNA from 1 species
AUUGAACGCUGGCGGCAUGCCUUACACAUGCAAGUCGAACGGCAGCACGGGAGCAAUCCUGGUGGCGAGUGGCGAACGGGUGAGUAAUAUAUCGGAACGUGCCCGGUCGUGGGGAUAACGUAGCGAAAGCUACGCUAAUACCGCAUACGAUCUACGGAUGAAAGCGGGGGGAUCGCAAGACCUCGCGCGAUUGGAGCGGCCGAUAUCAGAUUAGGUAGUUGGUGAGGUAAAGGCUCACCAAGCCGACGAUCUGUAGCUGGUCUGAGAGGACGACCAGCCACACUGGGACUGAGACACGGCCCAGACUCCUACGGGAGGCAGCAGUGGGGAAUUUUGGACAAUGGGCGCAAGCCUGAUCCAGCAAUAGCCGCGUGCAGGAUGAAGGCCUCGGUU